rnacentral:rRNA from 1 species
AACGUAGGACGCAAGCGUUUAUCCGGAGUUACUGGGCGUAAAGCGCGGGCAGGCGGUUCUGCCAGUCUGAUGUGAAAUCUCCUCGCUCAACGGGGAGCAGCCAUUGGAAACUACAGAACUGGAGUCUGACAGAGGUAGGCGGAAUUCCGGGUGGAGUGGUGAAAUGCGUAGAGAUCCGGAGGAACACCAGAGGCGAAGGCGGC